rnacentral:rRNA from 1 species
UACGUAGGGUGCGAGCGUUGUCCGGAAUUAUUGGGCGUAAAGGGCUCGUAGGCGGUUUGUUGCGUCGGGAGUGAAAACUCAGGGCUUAACCCUGAGCCUGCUUCCGAUACGGGCAGACUAGAGGUAUGCAGGGGGAGAACGGAAUUCCUGGUGUAGCGGUGAAAUGCGCAGAUAUCGGGAGGAACACCGGUGGCGAAGGCGGCUUCUGGACGGUAACUGACGCUGAGACGCGAAAGCGUGGGGAGCAAACAGG